rnacentral:rRNA from 1 species
CAGUAGCCCGGUAAUACGUAGGUGGCAAGCGUUGUCCGGAAUUAUUGGGCGUAAAGGGCUCGCAGGCGGUUUCUUAAGUCUGAUGUGAAAGCCCCCGGCUCAACCGGGGAGGGUCAUUGGAAACUGGGAAACUUGAGUGCAGAAGAGGAGAGUGGAAUUCCACGUGUAGCGGUGAAAUGCGUAGAGAUGUGGAGGAACACCAGUGGCGAAGGCGACUCUCUGGUCUGUAACUGACGCUGAGGAGCGAAAGCGUGGGGAGCGAACAGGAUUAGAUACCCCCGUAGUCCCUGUCUCUUAUACC